CCUACGGGAGGCAGCAGUGGGGAAUAUUGGACAAUGGGGGGAACCCUGAUCCAGCGACGCCGCGUGAGUGAAGAAGUAUUUCGGUAUGUAAAGCUCUAUCAGCAGGGAAGUAAAUGACGGUACCUGACUAAGAAGCCACGGCUAACUACGUGCCAGCAGCCGCGGUAAUACGUAGGGUGCAAGCGUUAUCCGGAUUUACUGGGUGUAAAGGGAGCGUAGACGGUGCAGCAAGUCUGUUGUGAAAGUUCGCGGCCCAACCCCGGGACUGCAUUUGAAACUGUUAAACUGGAGUACAGUAGAGGUAGGCGGAAUUCCUGGUGUAGCGGUGAAAUGCGUAGAUAUUAGGUAGAACACCAGUGGCGAAGGCAGCUUACUGGACUGUAACUGACGUUGAUGCUCGAAAGCGUGGGGAGCAAACAGGAUUAGAUACCCGGGUAGUC
rnacentral:rRNA from 1 species